UACGAAGGGGGCUAGCGUUGCUCGGAAUCACUGGGCGUAAAGCGCACGUAGGCGGAUCUUUAAGUCAGGGGUGAAAUCCUGGAGCUCAACUCCAGACCUGCCUUUGAUACUGGGGAUCUCGAGUCCGGGAGAGGUGAGUGGAACUCCGAGUGUAGAGGUGAAAUUCGUAGAUAUUCGGAAGAACACCAGUGGCGAAGGCGGCUCACUGGGCCGGUACUGACGCUGAGGUGCGAAAGCGUGGGGAGCAAACGGG
rnacentral:rRNA from 1 species